rnacentral:tRNA from 1 species
UCCCAGGUGGCUGAGCGAUAAAGCACCUGCCUGCCAAGCAGAAGAUGCAGUUUUGAUUCCUGGGUUGGGAA